rfam:Nicotiana sylvestris Nsyl_contig63960, whole genome shotgun sequence.
AUCUUUGCGCUUGGGGCAAUGACGCAGCUAGUGAGGUUCUAACCGAGGCGCGUCUAUUGCUGGUUGAAAACUAUUUCCAAACCCCCUCUUCGGCCUGGGUUCGCCCCUGGCCGUAGAGAAUUUUUGGAAGGGCUCCCUUACCCAGGGUAAAGCC